rnacentral:rRNA from 1 species
GAACGCUGGCGGCAGGCCUAACACAUGCAAGUCGAACGCCCCGCAAGGGGAGUGGCAGACGGGUGAGUAACACGUGGGAACCUUCCCUAUACUACGGAAUAGCCCAGGGAAACUUGGAGUAAUACCGUAUACGCCCGAGAGGGGAAAGAUUUAUCGGUAUAGGAUGGGCCCGCGUAGGAUUAGCUAGUUGGUGAGGUAAUGGCUCACCAAGGCGACGAUCCUUAGCUGGUCUGAGAGGACGACCAGCCACACUGGGACUGAGACACGGCCCAGACUCCUACGGGAGGCAGCAGUGGGGAAUAUUGGACAAUGGGCGCAAGCCUGAUCCAGCCAUGCCGCGUGAGUGAUGAAGGCCUUAGGGUUGUAAAGCUCUUUUGCCGGGGACGAUAAUGACGGUACCCGGAGAAUAAGUCCCGGCUAACUUCGUGCCAGCAGCCGCGGUAAUACGAAGGGGACUAGCGUUGUUCGGAAUCACUGGGCGUAAAGCGCACGUAGGCGGAU